rnacentral:misc_RNA from 1 species
GAUGAAGAACGCAGCGAAAUGCGAUAAGUAAUGUGAAUUGCAGAAUUCAGUGAAUCAUCGAAUCUUUGAACGCACAUUGCGCCCGCUAGUAUUCUGGCGGGCAUGCCUGUCCGAGCGUCAUUUCAACCCUCAAGCCCCCGGGCUAGGUGUUGGGGAUCGGCGAGCCUCCGCGCCCGCCGUCCCCUAAAUCUAGUGGCGGUCUCGCUGUAGCUUCCUCUGCGUAGUAGCACACCUCGCACUGGGAAACAGCGCGGCCACGCCGUUAAACCCCCAACUUCUGAACGUUUGACCUCGGAUCAGGUAGGAAUACCCGCUGAACUUAAGCAUAUCAAUAAGCGGAGGA